CUUUAAUGUUUGAUGUUCUAACGUUGACCCGUGAUCCGGGUUGCGGACAGUGUCUGGUGGGUAGUUUGACUGGGGCGGUCUCCUCCUAAAGAGUAACGGAGGAGCACGAAGGUUGGCUAAUCCUGGUCGGACAUCAGGAGGUUAGUGCAAUGGCAUAAGCCAGCUUGACUGCGAGCGUGACGGCGCGAGCAGGUGCGAAAGCAGGUCAUAGUGAUCCGGUGGUUCUGAAUGGAAGGGCCAUCGCUCAACGGAUAAAAGGUACUCCGGGGAUAACAGGCUGAUACCGCCCAAGAGUUCAUAUCGACGGCGGUGUUUGGCACCUCGAUGUCGGCUCAUCACAUCCUGGGGCUGAAGUAGGUCCCAAGGGUAUGGCUGUUCGCCAUUUAAAGUGGUACGCGAGCUGGGUUUAGAACGUCGUGAGACAGUUCGGUCCCUAUCUGCCGUGGGCGCUGGAGAACUGAGGGGGGCUGCUCCUAGUACGAGAGGACCGGAGUGGACGCAUCACUGGUGUUCGGGUUGUCAUGCCAAUGGCACUGCCCGGUAGCUAAAUGCGGAAGAGAUAAGUGCUGAAAGCAUCUAAGCACGAAACUUGCCCCGAGAUGAGUUCUCCCUGACCCUUUAAGGGUCCUGAAGGAACGUUGAAGACGACGACGUUGAUAGGCCGGGUGUGUAAGCGCAGCGAUGCGUUGAGCUAACCGGUACUA
rnacentral:rRNA from 1 species